ensembl:lncRNA
GUAUAAAUGAGCUUAUGAGUAACGACGAUAGUGUCAAUAAUAACUGUAAUACAAUACAAAAUGGUGAAAAGUUAAAUUGUGAAAAGUCAAAUGAUGCAACACCAAGUAGUGCAAUAUCAAAUGAUGAAAAAAAACCUUGCACUGUCACUAUUAGUGACAUUACUACAACGGACGCAGUGAAAAAAAAAAAAAUCUGCGCUUUUAGUUAUGAUGAAUUGUUACAAUUAUACGAACUGAAAGAAAAACAAAAUGAUAGUAUAAUAACAUAUGUGGAAUAUAAUAAAACUAAGUUAGCAAGUAUAAAGGACGUAAUGGAAAUUAUAAAAAAAAAUGAAAAUGAUAAAAAAGAAAUUUAUUAUUAUGCACAACCUUUUAAGGUACAUAAAAGCAACACAAUAAGUAAAAAUAUUUUGUUUUCUAAUAACGUUAUAAAAAAUUAUAGAACUUAUAAUAUUAAUGAAAAUAAAAUACGAAUACAUGAUGAAUACAUAUAUAAUGACUAUUCAAGUAGUAACAAUAAUAUAAAUGAUAAUGAUAAUAAUAAUAAUUUAAAUAGUGCUUGCACGUUGGUAAGUGAUAAGAAUGUGAUAAACAAAUUUUCCGAAUUACAUUCAAAUAAUUUAUGUAUUGAUGAUAUUAUUAAAAACGAUAAAUGUGAUAAUAGUACUAAGAAUAUUAAUUAUUGUACGUAUAAUAAUACAAAUCACACAAUCACUAUUAAUUGUGUGAAUAAUAUUCCGGUUGAUAUCAACAGUCAUGACAAUAUAUGUAGUCUCACUAAUCAUAAUCAUAAUGAUAAAAAUGAAACUUAUGUAGUGAAACAUAGUAUAACAAGUUUAGAUAAUAAAAAUGUGCCAGAUAAUGAUAAUAUAACUAAUAUAAAUAAAAAUUUGAAUAAAGAAAACAUUUAUGGAGACAUUAAAAAUGGUCUUGAAAUCAAAACAAAGUUACCUUGCUUUGAAAAAGAUACACAUACAUGUUUUAAAAACAUUUUAAAUAGUACAAAAAGUGAUGAAUAUAAUGAUGAUAACAUAAGCUAUUGUUCUAACAAAAUAAAUAAAAAUAAUUUUAUUAGUGUUCAAACAAAAAAUUGUUCUUUAGGUUAUUAUUCUUCCAAUGGUAAUGAAAUUUAUAAAUCAUGUGAGGAAUAUAAUGAUGAUAUGAAAAACAUAUUAAACAAAAACUUUGUAACGACAACUGAGACCUUUCCAGAUGCUACAAUAGCACAAACCUCAUGUACAGAACGUGUAAAUGAAAAUAAUUGUUAUGACAAGAAGGGUGUCUCCUAUAUAGAUAAUAUAAAUAUGGACUUGAAAAAAAAAAACAGGAAAAAUAAAAAAAAUAAAAUUGCUACUGUUAAUGCUAAUGGUACUGCUAAUGCUAAUGGUACUGCUAAUGCUAGUACUACUACUACUACUACUACUGGUACCACUGCUACCACUGCUACCAAUACCAAUGCUACCAAUACCAAUGCUACCAAUACCAAUGCUACCAAUGCCACUACUACUAAUGCUACUGCAACCUCUGAUACAACUACCACUUCCAGUAAUGAAAAUAAAAACAGUAUUAAUAAUAUAUUUGCUAAAAAUAUGAAUGAUAAAAAUAUGAGUGAUAAAAAUAUGAAUGAUAAAAAUAUGAGUGAUAAAAAUAUGAAUGAUAAAAAUAUGAGUGAUAAAAAUAUAAAUGAUAAAAAUAUAAAUGAUAAAAAUAUAAAUGAUAAAAAUAUAAAUGAUAAAAAUAAUAGUAGCAUAAAUAUAGUAAGUCACUGUAAAUCUGGUUUUUUCGAAUCUACUAUGGGCUUGGAUGAAUGUAAAAUUGGAGAGGGAAAUGGCAAAAAUAGUGUUAAUAAACUGGAUUCGAAAAAUAAGCACAGCUGCAGUAAAAACAACAACAACUUAAAAGAAAAAAGCAACACUAGUAAAAGCAAGAACAGUAACAACAACUCCAGCAGUAGCAGCAGCAGUAACAGUAGUAACGACAGCGAUAAUAAUGAAAACGAUCAGCACCUCAAACAUUUAAUAAGUGAUAUAAUAAUUAAUAAUGAUAUAUCAAAACUAAAUAGUAAUACAUUGAAUUCUCAUGAUUUAUUAUCAUGUAAUCAAAAUGUUUUUAACAAUAAUAACUAUAGCUGUUCAUCUAUACAAUCAAGUACCUCUAGUAGUUCUGAUAAUAUCAGUAACGAUAAUACAAAUUUUGAUUUACAAAAUAAAAUAUAUGAUAAUAACAAUAACAAUAAUAUUAACAUUAGUCAACGAGAAUUUAUAAAAAAUAGUAUACUGUUAAAUAAUGAUAAUAAAAGAGAAAAUGAAAAAUAUGUAAAUAAUGCUAUUUCUUCUAUCGCUAUUGCUACUGCGAGUAGUAGUACUCAUAAUAAUAUUAAUCAUAUAAUGUCAUUUGAAGAACCUGCAGGUAUUCAUAACUAUUCUACUACAUGUUAUAUUAAUGUAGUGUUACAAUGCUUAUCUACCUUUUCAUUACUAGCUUAUACACUUCAAAACUAUACAAGAGUUAAAUACCAAGAUCCUAACUUUUCUAGUGAUGGUAGUGAUAAUAUAAAUUCAUCGUUUAUUAAUAAAAAUUUUUUUAAAAAUAAAAUACCUUUUAAUUUAUUUGGUAAUAAUAAUAAAAAAAAUGAUGAAAAUUUGUUAGUAAAAAUAUCUAAUGUUUUGUAUCAACUAAGUAAAAUGUAUAAUAAAGGAAAAGUUUUAUGUGUUCAGAAUUUAUUAUU